rnacentral:misc_RNA from 1 species
GAUGAAUAACGUAGCGAAAUGCGAUAAGUAAUGUGAAUUGCAGAAUUCAGUGAAUCAUCGAAUCUUUGAACGCACCUUGCACCCUUUGGCAUUCCGAAGGGUAUGCUCGUUUGAGUGUCAUUGUACUCUCACACUUCUGAUCCUUUGGAUUGGGAGCGGUGGACUUGGGUGUUGCUGCUUUACUGUGGCUCACCUCAAAUGCAUUCGUGCAACUCUUGGUUGGACAUAGUACGGCGUGAUAAGUAUCUUCGCCGGCACCUCGCAAGAGGGUGGCUGAUCAGGAGCUCUGUGCUUUCCAACUGUCUUCAGACAACAACUGACAACUUGACCUCAAAUCGAGUAGGACCACCCGCUGAACUUAAGCAUAUCAAUAAGGAGGA